rnacentral:rRNA from 1 species
UUCAAUACCGUUGCUUGCAACGGUGUGCACUUUUCCCUUAGUAAGACGUUGUGAUCCAUUAGGAAUCGUUCUACCUGAGUUGAACAUUGGGCUACCAAUAGACCUGUAUGAAGUUCAUGAUGCCAGACGAGUAGAUCGCUAUGGUUUAUUAACUGGCUUGUGAGCAUACGGUGUUCUGGUGUAGCUGCCUGAUGGAUUUUAACGGCUAUAUCAUUGAUGCUUGCAUCACCGGUUCCGACUGGAUCGAUAUAUGCCUGAUCAACAACGGUUAAAUUUGGGAUACCUUUGGGACCCGUCUUGAAACACGGACCAAGGAGUCUAUCUAGUAUGCGAGUGAAUGGGUAUAUGAAACCUAUUCGCAUAAAUAACUUGACUGUUUUAAUGGGAUUACGAGAGCAAUCUCCUCCAUCCCGGGGUAUUUGCAUCACAUUCUUCGGAAUGGCGAAUAUACCAUGAGCAUACUGGAUAUGACCCGAAAGAUGGUGAACUAUGCCUGAUCAGGUUGAAGUCAGGGGAAACCCUGAUGGAGGACCGAAGCAAUUCUGACGUGCAAAUCG